rnacentral:rRNA from 1 species
AGGUCUUGCCUGCCCAGUGAUAAGUUAAACGGCCGCGGUAUUUUGACCGUGCGAAGGUAGCGCAAUCACUUGUCUUUUAAAUGAAGACCUGUAUGAAUGGCGAAACGAGGGCUUAACUGUCUCCCCUUUCAAGUCAAUGAAAUUGAUCUGCCCGUGCAGAAGCGGACAUAUAAAUACAAGACGAGAAGACCCUUUGGAGCUUAAGAUAAAAUAUCAACUACGUCAAGGACACAAAUCAAACUAAGUAACACCUGAUAACUAUCUUCGGUUGGGGCGACCACGGGAGAAAACGAAGCUCCCAUGCAGACUGGGGUUAUACCCUAAAACCAAGAAAGACAUUUCUAAGCCACAGAACAUCUGACCAUAAAGAUCCGGCCACCCGCCGAUCAACGGACCAAGUUACCCUAGGGAUAACAGCGCAAUCCCCUUUCUGAGUCCAUAUCGACAAGGGGGUUUACGACCUCGAUGUUGGAUCAGGACAUCCUAUUGGUGCAGCCGCUAUUAAGGGUUCGUUUGUUCAACGAUUAAAGUCCUACGUG